GCCGGGCGUGGUGGCUCACGCCUGUAAUCCCAGCACUUUGGGAGGCUGAGGUGGGUGGAUCUCCUGAGGUCAGGAGUUCAAGACCAGCCUGACCAACAUGGUGAAACCCAGUCUCUA
ensembl:misc_RNA Metazoa_SRP Metazoan signal recognition particle RNA